rnacentral:rRNA from 1 species
AUUGAACGCUGGCGGCAGGCCUAACACAUGCACGUCGAGCGGAGCGGCGGACGGGUGAGUAAUGCCUAGGAAUCUGCCUGGUAGUGGGGGAUAACGUCCGGAAACGGGCGCUAAUACCGCAUACUAUCAGAUGAGCCUAGGUCGGAUUAGCUAGUUGGUGGGGUAAAGGCCUACCAAGGCGACGAUCCGUAACUGGUCUGAGAGGAUGAUCAGACACACUGGAACUGAGACACGGCCCAGACUCCUACGGUAGGCAGCAGUGGGGAAUAUUGGACAAUGGGCGAAAGCCUGAUCCAGCCAUGCCGCGUGUGUGAAGAAGGUCUUCGGAUUGUAAAGCACUGUAAGUUGGGAGGCGUUACCAACAGAAUGAGCACCGGCUAACAUGGUGCCAGCAGCCGCGGUAAUUC